rnacentral:lncRNA from 1 species
CCCAGAGCUCAGACGUGGGAGUCUGCGAGAGAAUGGCAGCUCCAAGAUGAAGGCAGGAAUGUGAGAUGCCAGCUCCUUCAGGAUUGAACAGCUUUAUAUAAACUAACAGAGAGGGCAAGUUUAUGAAGUGGAGACAGGAUCUAAUUCUGUACUCAGAAUCUGCCAUCUGCUGAUCCCAAGGUUUUAUAUGAGGUGCAAGGUGCCCAUACUGGAGGCCUGAGCUCAGCCUUUUGGGGUCAUGACAGCCAUGAACCAGAGCAAGCUCCAGUUUGAUGGAUGAGGCUGACUUCUGUUGGACUUUGCAGCACAGGCCACAGGUCACAGAAGAGCUUGAAGAAAUCACAACAGGCUCCUACAGGAGAAAGUCAGGCAGAGAGGGAAAGCAAGCCAGACCAAAGAGGACAACUCUGCUGAGAAGAAAGUAUUACAUACAACAACUUCAAGUUCAGAAUAGCCUCAUUAAUUUUUUCCACAUUCCAGACUCUCCAAGCAUGUCAACAAACUGUGGUCUGUCCACUGGCUCACCUACACAAGCCACACUAUCUGCGUGGGGAUGGAUGUGUUCUACCAUGAGGUAUGUGCAAGGACAUGCCUGGAGGCUGAAAGUGAGCUUGGGAAACCAGUGGCUUUCCUAGAUGGUUGUGACAUGUACUCUGCUCUCUCAGGCAGUAGCAAGCCCCAUGUAUCUGUGAUAGAUGAGUAAUGCAAUGAUUGGCUCUCACAAUUAAUAGAGAAAUAUAAGGUAUAUAGGUUAAGAAAAGUUUAUAGAUUGAUAGUUGUGUUGUAGCCCCUCGCGUGGUUAUCAAGGGACAGCUGGAGUUGGGACAUCUGGGAGGGCUGGCUUGUCACUACGGCUACACCUGACCUCCAGUCAGGAUUUGAGGAAGAGAUCUCCACCACUGGACAGCGAAGAAGAGGUUGAUGGACAGAACUUUGGGAGGGGUUAUGGGGUUAAAAAGGAUAAAACCUGCAUUGAGAAGAGGCUGAGCACAUGGUGGGGAAAAUCUUUUGCUCCAGCGUUGUAACCUUUUUUCUUUAUUCAGUCUUUUGUUGUAUUUUUGAUAAGGUUUAAUAAAUAUUCCUAAACUAUGAGAAGUGAGUACCUA